AUUAGAAGGCUCCCUGCUGUGGAGAGUUCCCCAGAAUGCCGGAUGACCUUUGGCCUUGACUUUUUGUGAGGGAGAUGCUGCUUUAUCACUGCUAGAUAAGGAUGGGAUUCAGGUGCAUAGCUCAUUUCACAUCAGGCCAACCCUCCGGGCAUCCUGAGGCUGAACUUUUUCAGGACUUACAUGUGAGCCACCUGCCAGUGGAGGCUGAAGAAGACGGGGAUGGGAAUUGUAUCAGUCAUCAAUUCACAGCCAAUGUGCCACUUUUUUUGAGAACUCAGCUGUGACCUUCGAGAAGCCAUUGAUGACCACAGAAAGAAGUAGACCAUCUUUCCAGUGAAUUCCCUAUCACGUUGGCUGUCUGUCAGGAGCAAGGAGGUUCCGGGGCCUGGAACACAGCUGGAGAUGGCGGGAUCCUCACCAUCUCAAUCUCACCCGUGGCCUCCAUAGAACCACCUGGUGGAAAGCAUCCUAGUGGCUACCACUGUGUCCCGUGAUCCGGCUCAGUGUCGAGACGGAGCUUGAGAGCGGCCCCGGGCCUCCAUCCUGUGCUGGUGCAAUCGCUGCCCCCCGUUAUUGUUUACAGCGCCAGGUCAACAUUUUUUAUCAGUUUUCUGAGAUCUUUGCCUCAGAGGAGCACAGGCUAUCACUCACGGCCCCUCCUGGAGACUCUAGGACUUGAGGCGUUUGGCCCCAUUCUCCUGUUUGUUUCUUUUCCUCUUGCAGGAUUUCAGUCACGAUUUCUUAGACGUCCACUUAAUGAACACUUCUCAACUCUUCUGCUAAGUAUUCCCCUGCCCUCUGCCCUCUGCCCCCUGCCCCCUGCCCCGAGAGUGACAUGGGUUUAAAAUGAAAACUAAGACAGAGUUUUGAGUGACCCUAGGAAGCACCGGGCCUGGGGCAGAUCUGUGGUUCCCUGCCCUGCCCUUACCCCAUCCACAGGUCUUUCUAUUUAAGUCAAACUUCAUAUAAAUGACUAUCAAAAAUAUCCUUGAAGGGAAAAAGCAAACUUCUGGAAGGUCAGCCUGGGAGUUGUGUGUGGAUAGGACAGGGAUGACAUCAGAGAUUUUUGCCUUGGAAAUAGAGAAGGAGGGAACAGCUCCACGAACCAACGAUGUAUGUGAAUUAGACUCAAGAAAACGGAAAUAAUUAAAUGCACCGCUAGGCAGAGCCGCCGGUGUUCUGCCAUCCUUCUCACCCACUAAAGCCCUGAGUGACUGACUCUUCGAGCCCCUCCCCAGAUGUGCAGUGGUCGCCCAUGUCACCUGAGCUGAGGGAGGACCACCACGUUCUUCACUUAUGUCAGAGGGGAUGCCUGUCACCUCCCGAUCUCAUCCAAAAGCACUGCGGCCUCUGCUGUUUUACAGUCUUUCCAAAGAUGUUUAGCCUGAAUCUUACUGUGAGCGACAGACUCAAACGACUCCUGAUGGAGGGGCAGGGAUGUUUGCAUGUGUUCGUGCACAAAAGUGCAAAAUGUGAAGACAUUCACCGAGUCUAGUAAACAUUACCAGGAUUAUAUUACUUUUUCAAUUUUUCUGUAGGUUCAACAUUUUUCACAAAUCACAAGGUGCACCUCUGACAUGAUGCUCAGUCUGUUGUGUUCAGCAGUCCACGGAUUAACCAUGAUAUUCAAAAAUUUUUCACGCAUUGAUACUUGACACAGGAAAUAAAACAGAUUAUUAAACCAGUUUUUAGCAAAUUUGGAGGUUCUUUAUGAAAAACUAAAUUCCUUUUAACAGGAAACAGUCCCUCAAAGGAAAAUAAUACUGUGUCCAAGACAUCAACUUCCUCACGAAGAGAAUUCAGAGAAAGUUCUUCCAACCAUGAUGACAAGUCCUGUCCAAACUCCCUCAUGGAGACGCGAAGAGUCCUCGCAGUCAACCGAGCCAGAGCAGGCGGAGCACAAGGCGGCAGGUUUUCAGCGGGAAGCCCCCUCUCCACAUAAAAGAAAAGAAACACAGAGGUAAGACGGUUGUGCUGUGGACGGACAGACGGAGAGCACGCAGCAUUGCCCUGCCUUCCCAACAUGCUGGGCAAAGCUGAUGACCAGCACUCAGAAGCAUGGGGUCCAGGCAGCGCGUGAUACAUGCAGCUCUCGGGCUGAUGAGCAGGAUGAUAGCUGUGAGAAACUUCCUGGAAGCUCACCAAGUGCCGGGCACCACAGGGAGGGCUCUGCAUAGCUUAUGUGUCUUGUUUUGCAG
ensembl:lncRNA